rnacentral:rRNA from 1 species
CACGUAAGCCUCGAGCGUUGUUCGGAAUUAUUGGGCGUAAAGGGCAUGUAGGCGGUUUUGCAAGCUUGGUGUGAAAUCCCGGAGCUUAACUCCGGAAUUGCGUUGAGAACUGCAUAACUAGAGUCACUGAGGGGCAAUCAGAAUUCCAGGUGUAGGGGUGAAAUCUGUAGAUAUCUGGAAGAAUACCAAUGGCGAAGGCAGGUUACCAGCAGAUGACUGACGCUGAGGUGCGAAGGUGCGGGGAGCAAAC